rnacentral:rRNA from 1 species
CUGCAUGGCUGUCGUCAGCUCGUGUCGUGAGAUGUUGGGUUAAGUCCCGCAACGAGCGCAACCCUCGCCUUUAGUUACCAUCAUUUAGUUGGGGACUCUAAAGGAACCGCCGGUGAUAAGCCGGAGGAAGGUGGGGAUGACGUCAAGUCCUCAUGGCCCUUACGCGCUGGGCUACACACGUGCUACAAUGGCGGUGACAGUGGGCAGCAAACUCGCGAGAGUGCGCUAAUCUCCAAAAGCCGUCUCAGUUCGGAUUGUUCUCUGCAACUCGAGAGCAUGAAGGCGGAAUCGCUAGUAAUCGCGGAUCAGCAUGCCGCGGUGAAUACGUU